UACGUAGGGUGCGAGCGUUAAUCGGAAUUACUGGGCGUAAAGUGUGCGCAGGCGGCCAUGCAAGUCGAGUGUGAAAGCCCCGAGCUUAACUUGGGAAUUGCGCUCGAAACUACGUGGCUGGAGUGUGGCAGAGGAAGGUGGAAUUCCACGUGUAGCGGUGAAAUGCGUAGAGAUGUGGAGGAACACCAAUGGCGAAGGCAGCCUUCUGGGCCAACACUGACGCUCAUGCACGAAAGCGUGGGGAGCAAACGGG
rnacentral:rRNA from 1 species